rnacentral:lncRNA from 1 species
AAAACUUCAAAACUUCUAAAUUGAGUAAGUUUAUUACCUUGAAAAUCAUGAAUACAAAUAAUGAUACUAAGCCUUUUAUGCCUUUCUUAGAUGGCUAGAGGUCCAGCCCAGACUAGAAGAGAGAUGAUUAAGAAACAGAAUAGAUCAAGGUCAUUACACCUCCUUAGGUUUUAUAUAAGGAACCCAAGCUACAAUCUCGUAGAGCAUUUGGAUGUUAUUGAGGCCAUUUAUCGAGGGGCUCAACUAAAUGGACACGUGUUUAGCACAGAUGAGGCAAUUUUUCCUCUACUUAGAACCCUUACCGGAUAUUGGAAAGACUUCACGGAAUGACUCGAUGAAAUGUAUGAUGACACAUAUCUGCCAAACACCUUAUUAAGAGCCUUAGAGAAAGAUGGAUGACCAAUAGCGAGGAUUAUAGAGUUAUUGAAAGGCCUGAAGGGUACGAGCCGAAUAAAUGUCGAUGUCAUCCUCGUAUCAUGCCCAAUGGGAGCAGUCACGAGGAAAUACCAGGGAUAGACAGUGAGGACAACAUAAUAGAGUAUGUGCCCAGAGACUCUAGGGAGGAAGAAGACUCUUCGGAGGACCCAGAACCAAGCCACGAUGAGAGCACUGGGAAAACUACUAGAUUAUAGUCUUAUGUUUAGAUUCUUGAUCUAGUAUAUGAUUUUCUAUGUUUGUAUGGACACUUGGUAUACCUUGCAAUCCCUUUUCCUAGUAGAUUUUCCUUUUGCUUGGACUUUGGGUAUGC